GAUGAACGCUGGCGGUAUGCUUAACACAUGCAAGUCGAACGGACUCUUCGGAGUUAGUGGCGGACGGGUGAGUAACGCGUGAGAAUCUGGCUUUGGGUUCGGGACAACCACUGGAAACGGUGGCUAAUACCGGAUGUGCCGAGAGGUGAAAGAGAAAUUGCCUGAAGAUGAGCUCGCGUCUGAUUAGCUAGUUGGUGAGGUAAAGGCUCACCAAGGCAGCGAUCAGUAGCUGGUCUGAGAGGAUGACCAGCCACACUGGGACUGAGACACGGCCCAGACUCCUACGGGAGGCAGCAGUGGGGAAUUUUCCGCAAUGGGCGAAAGCCUGACGGAGCAAUACCGCGUGAGGGAAGAAGGCUCUUGGGUUGUAAACCUCUUUUCUUAGGGAAGAACAAAAUGACGGUACCUAAGGAAUCAGCAUCGGCUAACUCCGUG
rnacentral:rRNA from 1 species